CUUGACCCCUGGCAGCACAAGUCCCCAUCCCGCCGGGGAGAGGAACACGGGCGGCGGGCGGGUGCGGGACCACGCAGCCCUUCGGGCGCCCGGGGCCAGCGAGCGACCGGCCGAUGCAAGGAGGGGGCUGAUCCAGACAAGGCGUCAUGCACACCCUCAACUCCCACUGAUGGCAGUAGGAACAGACAGUGCUCACAACAUGAUGGAAGACAACACACGGCAGAAUCAGGGUUUUACUGACAAGUUACGGAGAUUCUGCAGUACAAAUGAGCGAGUGCACAUUAGUUGCUACCCAUACCGCAAAUCUGAGGCAAGCAGCAAGGCUUUGGUUAAACAAACAAUGCAUUUAUUUAGCAACCUGCACAAAACGUUCUUAUCUGUCCUUUUAAAUAUAUUUAUUUUGAAAAGAUCAAAAAGAUAAAACUCAGAAAAGGACGUAUCACUGUACCCAAAAAUGGUUCUGUGCAGCACCCAUUUACAGAACAGCAUUACAUUCUUAUUUGAAACGUUGGAGAGUUUCAAGCUUUUAUUUUUCCAUUUUCCAAGGCGGGGGUGCACGGGAGAAUCUUCAGAACACAGGAUCAGCACCAUCUAUGGAAAGAACAACAGCCAAUUUAUGGGAAACAAGGAAUAACUUAAAAACAAAACCCACAUUAUUGUACAUUAAUCAUUCUGGAAUAUUCUGUUACCUGGCACAACUCUCAAGAUUGUACAUAGAACGCAAAGAAGUUCAUUUAAUGCAAUCUAAAUAAUAACCUAAUGUGGAUUUCAACAGUGCCAGUGAAAUCUUUUUCCGUAAACUGAGAAGGCCUUGAAUCAAAUAUAAGCUAAAAAUGGCAUAUAUAAGCUCUAAAGUAGCAAGGGCUAGUUUCUCAGGACACACUAGUUUUUGGGUGUGGUGCUGUCUCAGAUGAUGUGUCAUACCUGCUGACCAUCUUGUAUCACAUUGAUCUGCUUUCAGUGUUUAGAAUUUGAAGCUCUUCUCCUGCUUCUCCCUACACUCUUAUCUUAAGCCAGCAUAUAAACAUGAACUAAUUUGCAAAAUCAUUUCCUCACUAACACCAUGCCCUGAGCUAGGAGGUUACCAAAGGAAACCUUCAGCUUUCAUAGGAUAUGCCAAUCCGCUAGCAAAACAACGAUGAUGGGUCACAACUGCCUAAAGAGGAGAAUGCAAAUGUAACUCAAAGAGCUCCAACCAGGCCACAGAACGUCUAUGCACAGAGAGAAAUUUUUCUAUAUUCGUUACUGUUCCCUGAACUGCCUUAUAACCUCCAUAGAGCAUUUCUGUAGCACCUUGGCAUGCAAUGCAAUAAUUCUAGUCCUCACAAGACUCUCAGCUCACCAUACUGUCUUGUUUGUGAUUUCUUGGUGCUCAGGAUCUGAGCUGAGAAUUGCUGUCCUAAGGAAUUCAUCCUCAACUGCAGCCAAUCCAUCCAUUUUCACAAAUAUAAACCUAAACCUUUGUUCACAGUUCCAAUUGACCCCUUUUCUUGGGAAGAAAUUCACUCCAAUUUGAGAUACAGAUACAAAAGGGUUUUGGUCUUCUCCCCAGGGGUUCAAGGAGAAAAGCAAUUUAAUGUGCUUGUAACGGGAAGCACGGCUGAGUUCUAUUUAAUGGUGAAUAGAACAAGUAUUUUUCGUUAAAAAGAUAAUCCAAGAAUUUGCUGUCGAGAUUAAAAAUGCUGAAUAACGUUAGAAAACCCAAACCAAAGUAUUAAUGGAGUUUAUAAAAAAAAGGUUUAAAUGAGGAUCUGGGUGUGAAGUUGAAGUGCUGAGAGUUUGGGAUAAUCACCAUCCAGCCAAUCAGCUACCUGACUUGUGGUCACUUGCUAGUCCAGAGUUCCCCAAAUUGUGGGGGACGCCGGAACAUUUUGGGAGGCUGCAGCGGGGCCUGGGCCAGCCUCCCUAGGGAAGGAGUGCCACCCCGCUGAACCCCACCCCCAGUUGCUGGCCCCCACCGCAGCUCCGCUCCCGACCCAGGGCCAAGUUUGGGGACAAGAGUGGAACUGCAUGGGGCCGUGGGCUCAGCUGCAGGCCCCCACCAUGGCCUAGGCUGUGGCUCCACCCCUGCCCUCAGCCUCGGCCCCUCGCCAUGGCUCUGUUCCUGGCCCCACUCCCUGCCUAGAUACACCCCUACCUGGGGCCCCUUUACCCGUCCUUCCCACCCCCACGCUGGGAGCUGUGGAAGGUUGAUGGGGUAAGGGGGGUGCGACCCUGAAAAGUUUGGGGAUCACUGUGCUAGUGGGAUUCAUUGGUUAAAUACUAGACAUUAGAUAGUAAAUGGAAGCAUAACUCCUUUAUUUUAUUUUUUUCAUUUUUCUCCUUUUUUCCAGGUAGCACUACAAAGACAUUCAAAUAUUAAAGCCACGUUACAGGCCGUCCUUUAAACACACAUAAAAUAACCAAAUGAACUGUGUCAAGUGACCCUAGAACACAACGUUGUCAAAAUAAAAGUUCUUUAAAAGAAAAAAAA